UCUUUUAUCAGAGAUAAGCUGUACACAUUCUGAUGAAGGCUUGGGGAGGGGGUGGGGGAGGGGAACUUGAUAACAAAAUAUAGUUUGUUUAAAGGUAAAAAUUGAAAAAGAGAUUCUUGCAAGGUGUCACAAAAAGGAAUUCCUUGACAGCUUAGGUGUUGUUCGAAGAGCUGAAGAGGCACCCACUUGUACAUAUCAAGUUACAUUCAGUGAUACAUUGUGAUCUUUCAUUCUGACUGAUUUCUGGGAAAAGAUGAAUCUACAAAGGCUAGCUCUUUGCUAGCUGGUCUUUAAUCAGCUAUAUUUAAUCUGGUUACGGAUUUCCAUCAUCAUCUACAGGGAUUACAAAGCCUACUGAGGAGGUUUAACUUUUCUGGUGGCAAGACUGAGAAAUGUGUUUUCUGAGUCUCAACACAUGUGCACAUUGGUACAUGUUUAAAGCAUGGACAUUGGCUGGAGGAGUGGCGGACCGAUUCUCAAGCCAUACGAAGUUCAAGAACUGGGACACAGCUCCUUCCUGGAAUUCAAAUUCAAGAUGUUUGUACCCAUCCAGGUCAAAACCAGCCUACGCCCUGUUUCUAAAAUGUCAGUCCAGAAAUAAUGCCACAUUCUCUAAUAAGCGGGGGAGGUAUUUUAACAUAGUUAGUAAGUAUUAAGCACGUGUUGCCUACGUCAUCCCACGGGCUUGCGACAGAAACAGUGUGUCUAAAACAAUGUAGACGGCAUGCGUAAUUUAGUAAUCAAUUACUUGAGAACAAAAAAACUUAAAUAAGAACUAAAUACAAAC